GGUCAGAUGGCCGAGCUGGUCUGGGGCGCCGCACUCAAGUUGCGGUCUCUCGGUUCGAAUCCCACUCUGACCA